AAAUUAUUUUAGGCAUGGGAUCAAAGAAGAAACUUCUUUGUAGCAGCAUCCCAGUACUAGGACUUUUUGUCUCUGCAUGGAAAUCUGAAUAUAUUUAUAUGUUGGAGUGACAUCUCUACAGGAAGCCUAGAGACCUAACUGUUUGCUACAUGUCACCAAAGUUAAAGUGGCUACCUUAAUGAGCAGCCAGGAUGCCAUCAUCUCCGACCUGAAUGACAAUAACCUCCAAACCAGCCUUUGUAUACUCCUUCCUGCUGCUCUGCAGUCCACUUCCACAGACCAGCCAACUGAAUCUCCUUAUAGAUUCAUAAUGGCCAUCAGCACAAAGAUGUUUUAUCUGCAGUCAACCAGUCAUGUUUCAUGAUGGCAUCAAAAUGUGCUGGAAAAGGUCAGAGAAAAUCAUCAUCAUAAAGUGAAGUGAUUUUCUUCUUUAUGAGCUCCUGAUGUAAACAGACUGAUGAGCACAACACAAUCCUUACUCACCCACAUGACAUCAUACACAAUCACAGCUAAAUGUUUCUAUCUGUCAAAGCCUGAAGAGUGACUACCAGAUUGUUGCCUGAUUGCUAAGAAUUGAUGCUUGUUCAACUGGGAUCUAUCCAGAGAAACAUAAUCCACUUCAAGAAUUUUCUGAAAAGGGAAUCUAAUGCAAGGAAUUAAUUGCAAAGAUGAUGCAAUAUCUGAGAACGAUAGAUUUGACAGUUUGGUCUACAUUUCAAGGCUGGUUAGAUGGGAGGUAUGUCCUGGUAUAUUAGUUAAUUUAGGUAUAUCUUACUGAUUUACAUUGCAUGAUUUAUCAGAUGCUAUUGACUCAUUCAAGUAAAUACAUUUAAAAAUUAUACCUUUUGCUCAUACUAGUAAUUGGGUCAGUCAUGCUCUUGAAGGAGGCAUACUGGGAGCCAUACAUUACCAGAGGCAGAGGAUUCAAUGGAUGUUUUCUGUUUUCUCUUCUUCGUGCUCUGUAAUUGAGACACAGAACAAAGGAGGAAGACUAAGUGCUCUGCCUUAACUCAGGCCAGGCUGUGGGCGCAAGUGCACCAACGGCUUUGAGACUAACACACAGCUCAGAACAAGGAGGUGAAAAUCUGACAGCUCAAAAUGAAGCAAAAACCCAAGAUUAAAACAGACACCAUUUUGUGCCCACUCAGUCUUCUUUCCAGGGUCAUACAUGUGUUUAUAACCGCACUUCUACAUUCUAUUAUGAGGGCAAGAGUUGUGGCUGCUAUAUAAAUGCUUCCUAGCAUAGUUCCUGACAACUAGGUGAUUCAUGAAUAUUUGCUGAAGAAAUAAAAAUAACUUUAUGAA
rnacentral:lncRNA from 1 species